rnacentral:rRNA from 1 species
AGGAUGAACGCUGGCGGCGUGCCUAACACAUGCAAGUCGAACGUCCUGUCUCGCAAGAGGCAGGGAGUGGCGGACGGGUGAGUACCACGUGGGUCAUCUACCGUGAGGUGAGGAAUACCGGCGAGAAAUCGCCGACAAGACCGCAUAGGCUCGAUGCAAGUCGAGCAAAGCUCUUUCGAGAGAGGGAGCGCCACACGAGGAGCCUGCGCCCGAUUAGCUAGCUGGUGGAGUAACGGUUCACCAGGGCGACGAUCGGUAGCUGGUCUGAGAGGACGAUCAGCCACACUGGGAUUGAGAACGGCCCAGACUCCUACGGGGGGCAGCAGUGAGGAAUUUUCGCAAUGGGGGCAACCCUGAACGAGCAACGCCGCGUGCAGGAAGAAGGUUUUCGGAUCGUAAACUGCUUUUCUCGGGGAAGAGAACGGACGGUACCGAGGAUCAGCCCCGGCUAACUACGCGCCAGCAGCCGCGGU